rnacentral:lncRNA from 1 species
AGUCCACUUCUGCCAGGCAAACACAGACAGUUUCUAGUUGCAAGAUAUCCCCCAUGGCAGAGAAAAAAAAAAGUUUCUUCUGGGAUGCAGACAAUCCAGGAAUCAGUGAUAAUCCACUGACCUUUCUAGGAAGUAAGAGCAAAGAACAAACAGGUUAGAUUCUGAGAAGCUGUUUCUAAGUUUGAUGGUUUUUUUUUUCCUAAGCCUGAGGCACUGAGAAGGGUUCAAGCUUGUAUUCUCCAGAUGCAAGGGUGCAAAUAAAGCCCGAUUUCCACUGGCAGCUAUUAUAACCAGGAGAGGAUCCUGCCUUUGGCUAAGGCCAGCGGAAAGGAAGGCAAAUGGAGAGACACAAAGAGCCUGAAUCUUUGAGCCAUCACUCAGUUGCGAUCAAACUGCCUGGAACCCACCCCACCCCGAUCGCCUGCUCGGACAAAAAUAACUGAAGCUCCCAUUGUUCAAACCAGCUUGUGUCAUGGUUUCUGAUGUUUAUAACUAAGACCAAUUCAAACAAUACAAUAUUUUAAAUCUUUAUUAUUUUUUAAGGAAACAAUAGCUUAAGGGUAAAAACUCAUCUCUAAUUGUAAAAAAAAAUUAUCUCUAAUUGUAGGCUUUUGAAGUUAGGGUCGGUCAGUAUUUUUAGAUAGAAUCUUUCAAAACUCAGGAGAGAGACUCAGCUUAUUUCAUGUGUAUGAUGAGGAUGUCUCCUUUAUUCUUUUUCCUGCUAUCACACUUAUGCCAGGCUUUCUUUCAAAACUUAACUCACCCAGCUCCUUGUCUUUGAAGCCUUCUUUUAAUUCUUCUCCCACAUUCCCCAAAACCAAGUCAAUUCUCUCCCUCAGUGCCCUCAUGUGUAUAAAUUGCAUAUCAUAUGGCAUUUUUUUCAUGUCUGUAAGACUCCCAAUUUCCCAAAGGCGAGGUUACUGUCAUUUUCUUCUGUAUCUACAGUGACCAUCACAUGAAAAGUACUCCAUAAAGGUGUUAAGGAUGGAAUUGUGUCCCCAACCCCAAAAUUCAUGUGUUGAAGCCCUCACCCUCGAUGUGACCAUAUUUGGAGAUAGAUAGGGCCUUUAAAGAGGUAAUUAAGUUAAAUGAAGUCAAAAUAGUGGGGCCUAGUAUCAUAUGACCGAUGUCCUUAUAGGAAGAGGAGAGACACCAGGGAUGUGCACACACAGAGGGGAGUCCAUGGGAGGACGGGGCAAGAAGGUGGCUGUCCUCGAGCCAGAGAGAGGCCUCAGAAGAAACCCAACUUGCUGGCACCUUGAUCUUGAACUUUCGGCCUCCAGAACUGUGAGAAAAUAAAUUCCUGUUGUUUAAGCCACCCA